AUGUGGUUACCCUUUGUAGUUGAUCAAAUGCCAAAAACUUAGAAUCUUUGAUGCUUGAAUUAUUAAGAAUUUAAAGGUUCACAACAAUUUCAGAAUCAAAUCAUGGUUUAGGUUUAUGUUGCUGAACUUUCUCCUCUCCUCUAGUGCUCCUCAAUUCUCUCAGCGCCGCUCUCACGACUCCACCACAGGCUUUUACUCUCAACAAAGCUUGCACUCUUCUGGGUUCUACGUUGCCGCCGCUACCGUCAUUGCUGGAACCCCUUUUGCCUUCAGGUUCUUUUUGGCAGUAAUCCCAAGGUUUCUCAUUGUGAUACUGCUGCGCCUGAAUAUUACAUUUGGAGUAUACAAAGAUUAUCCAAAGAUGAUGCUCUUAAAUACACUGUAAAUGAGUGUAAGGUUGAGUUAAAGCCUCCUUAUUCUGCUUUUGGGUAGAGGCCUUUUGCGAUGACGACUUUGAGGUCAUUUCUAAUGUUCUCUGUUUGAGUUGAGGCCAUGUGCUACUAAUGUUUCAUAUAUGUAUGGUUUGAGACACAAUGGCAUUUGUAAUUGAGCUUGAGAUCUUUGGUUGUGAAUGAAAGAUGCAUUUGAAUUUGUAAAUACCAAUGAACCUUGGUUAAAAGUGGAUGGCUCAAAUACUUUAGGGCAGGUUUGUGUGGGCAGUGUGUUUGUCUACGAUUAACGUAAAAAUAGUGGUGCCGGUGAGAUUAGAUAUUAUAACAAUACUAUAGUGGGAGACAAAAAGUAAGUUAAACGAACCCCACCGCCCAUCCGUUUCUACUUGACAAUUGAUUCAUAUAUGUAUGCUUUGAGACACUUGAUCUUGUAAUUCAACUCAUCUCUCUAUUUAGAUAACUUUGCGACUAA